UCCCUUUCUCUCCACGGGGAGGAGGGAACCAGAGACAAAAAGAAAGAGAGAGAUUUGUGUCUUUUCAGCAGGAUGAAUGGAUAGAGAAAGCCAGAAUCGGACUGUAACGCAGAGUCUGGGCUCUGCUUUCUUAGGAACCAGAGCGGGGUCAGCUCUCUGGGGUGAAGGAUUCCUGCUGGAAUCUUCCAGACUCAGGAAGUGCUGGCUGCUGCCACCUUUGGUCUUACAACUGCAAUUCUAGGGCCCCCGAGAUUCACGGCUCUCCCCUGCAAGUCUCGUGUUUAUGAAUUGCGUCCUCAUUCGCCGGGGAAGGCCCUGCAGACUCCAGCCUGCUCGAAGGAAAUGCCAGAAACCCUGCUAAUUCCCCGGGCUCCCACCCUCCUCAGAGCCGGAGCCGCAGGAUGACAGAGCUGGCCUGGCUUUUCUUUAUCCCUCCCAAAUGAGAGCUCAUUUUUAAAAAGAAACUCAGCAAAAGGAUCUGGGGGGCGUGGGGGCGGGCAAUGAAGCCACUUCCAUCUGUCUUCCUGGCGUGUGGGAUGCAGAGGAGAGAUUUUGGAGAUGCAUGGAUCUGGGUUCGAAUCUGGCUCUGCUGCUCACCAGCUCUGUCCUGUGGGCCCGUCACCUGUCUGCGGAAAGUCUCCUUCCUCCAUUUCCUUCCUCUGUCCUGGAUCUUUGUGAGAAACGCCUCCUGACGGCAAAUGAGAGCUACCUGCAGACCCAGAAGCUUUCCCAGCUACCCGGUCCUUCUUCCUUCCCGACACGGGCCAAACAGCAUCUUCUCCUGCCAUGAGAAAUCAGGAGAGCGUGACCUCAUGGAAACCCAGUCAUCAGCAGGAGGAGAGACCGGCAGCAUUGGACGAGGGAGGCCGUCACAGAAUCAGGACCAGAGCUUGCUGGCCUUGGCGUUGGGAAGGUUUAUUGGUGGCCUCCUGUCUAAUUGA
rnacentral:lncRNA from 1 species